AGUUUGGCUUGCUUCCUGUGCAAGUCAUGUUUAGGAUAGCUUGCUCCCUGUGCAAGUUAGCUAGAAACCUUAACUUAGGGAUGAUUUGCAUGAUAACAUCUAGGCUCGAGUCGUAGUCUCCCUAGUUGUGUCUCCCUCUGUUAUCUGGUUAGGCUAGUCCUGUGUCCCUUCGUAGGGGAACUACGUCGCCCUGAUCCUCAUACCAGAUGAGGUACGUAGGCAGGAGAUGAGCN
rnacentral:lncRNA from 1 species